UCCUACGGGAGGCAGCAGUAGGGAAUCUUCCGCAAUGGACGAAAGUCUGACGGAGCAACGCCGCGUGAGCGAUGAAGGCCUUCGGGUCGUAAAGCUCUGUUGUUAGAGAAGAACAAGUACCGGAGUAACUGCCGGUACCUUGACGGUACCUAACCAGAAAGCCACGGCUAACUACGUGCCAGCAGCCGCGGUAAUACGUAGGUGGCAAGCGUU
rnacentral:ncRNA from 1 species